ACCAGACUCCUACGGGAGGCAGCAGUGGGGAAUAUUGGACAAUGGGGGGAACCCUGAUCCAGCGACGCCGCGUGAGUGAAGAAGUAUUUCGGUAUGUAAAGCUCUAUCAGCAGGGAAGAUAAUGACGGUACCUGAGUAAGAAGCCCCGGCUAACUACGUGCCAGCAGCCGCGGUAAUACGUAGGGGGCAAGCGUUAUCCGGAUUUACUGGGUGUAAAGGGAGCGUAGACGGCAUGGCAAGUCUGAAGUGAAAGCCCGGGGCUCAACCGCGGGACUGCUUUGGAAACUGUUAAGCUGGAGUGCAGGAGAGGUAAGUGGAAUUCCUAGUGUAGCGGUGAAAUGCGUAGAUAUUAGGAGGAACACCAGUGGCGAAGGCGGCUUACUGGACUGUAACUGACGUUGAGGCUCGAAAGCGUGGGGAGCAAACAGGAUUAGAUACCCGUGUA
rnacentral:rRNA from 1 species